UACGUAGGGUGCAAGCGUUGUCCGGAAUUAUUGGGCGUAAAGAGCUCGUAGGCGGUCUGUCGCGUCGGCUGUGAAAUCCCGAGGUUCAACCUCGGGUCUGCAGUCGAUACGGGCAAACUAGAGUAUUGCAGGGGAGACUGGAAUUCCUGGUGUAGCGGUGAAAUGCGCAGAUAUCAGGAGGAACACCGGUGGCGAAGGCGGGUCUCUGGGCAAUAACUGACGCUGAGGAGCGAAAGCGUGGGGAGCGAACAGG
rnacentral:rRNA from 1 species